UACGUAGGUGGCAAGCGUUGUCCGGAUUUAUUGGGCGUAAAGCGCGCGCAGGCGGUCCUUUAAGUUUGGUGUGAAAUCUCCCGGCUCAACCGGGAGGGUGCGCCGAAUACUGAGGGACUUGGAGUGCGGGAGAGGAAAGUGGAAUUCCUGGUGUAGCGGUGAAAUGCGUAGAUAUCAGGAGGAACACCGGUGGUGUAGACGGCUUUCUGGACCGUAACUGACGCUGAGACACGAAAGCGUGGGUAGCAAACAGG
rnacentral:rRNA from 1 species